UAAGGUGCAUCGAUCCGAUUAUAAUGUUGUCAAAAAAAAAUAUUAUAACCCCAUUUAAGUUUUGGUAUAUUUUUAUUAUCAACCAAUAAGAAUACCUAUUUACACUCGGAUAAGGAUGAUAAGUUAGUUUGUAUUAUAUUUGGAUCUUGCUAAGCCACGUUGGCAUAAAAGUCUUAGAGAGAUGUCUCAAAUUUGUCCCCAAAGAUCCCUCCAACUUUGUUUUCUAACCUGUACGAUAUUGUUUUGGAAAGGUUUUAAAGGCUUAUUCCAUAAAUUUAGCAGAUUUACUGCUAAGAUCUUACAUGGCGUAGUACAAGAUUGUAUUUUGGCCCAAAAUUAAACUAUGAUGUGUAAUUAGUCCUCCAUAUGUUA
rnacentral:lncRNA from 1 species